rnacentral:rRNA from 1 species
CACGUAGGCGGCAAGGUAAGUCAAAGGUGAAAGCCCUCGGCUCAACCGAGGAACUGCCUUUGAAACUGCUUUGCUUGAGUCCGGGAGGGGGGAGCGGAAUUCCCAGUGUAGCGGUGAAAUGCGUAGAUACUGGGAGGAACAUCGGUGGCGAAGGCGGCUCCCUGGACCGGUACUGACGCUGAGGUGCGAAAGCGUGGGUAGCAAACA